UGGUGCUGGUGUGGCAGUCUGCAUGUCGAAUAAUGCAAAUUGAUCCAUUCCAAGUCCACGUUGCUGACUGGUGUACAUCUCAACAUACUGCUGGCCAAUGCACACCUCAACAUACUGCUAGCUGAUGUACAACUCAACAUACUGUUAGUCAAUGCACACCUCAGUUUAUUUCUGGAUGAUGCACACCUCAACAUACUGCUGACCAAUGCACACUUCAACAUAAUGCUGGUUGAUGCACAUCUCAACAUACUAAUGGUUGAUGCACAACUCAACAUACUGCUGGCCAAUGCACACCUCCACAAAGAGGGCAGGCAACUGACCACUA
rnacentral:lncRNA from 1 species